GAGGCUGACACAGAUGGAGAAAUGACAUGCCUCUGUACCCUGAGGAUGGAGGCUGUAGGGACAGGGCUAUGAGGCUUUGGGCUGUUGGAAAGAAUGCCCAAGUGCUCAGAGCAGUUCCUGUGGCAGAGGCAACAAAUUACAGAGUCAGAAAAGCAUGGGUUUAAAUACCUGUUUCACAUGCUGAUUCUAAGGGCUUAACUACGUGUUUAACCUCUCUGAGAUACUUCCCUGUCUGCAAAUGGAGUUUGGAAGGUCCCCUCCUACCUCAGGCCUGCCGAGGUGUGCCUGGAGGUGAGAGACUCCUGAAUCCUGAAGAAGAAAACUCUGCCUUUGAGAAGCAUCCUUAACUCAAGUUAGCCAGCAAGAGGAAAAGGUGAGCAGAGCAGGACCGUGCUCUGUGUCAAGCACCGUGCGCCAAGUGGAAUCCUCUGGAAAACGAAAUGACCGGUCAAGAAAACGCUCCAAAGACACCGAGUCACGUGCUACAAAGCUGGGUGCCACAAGGACCUGAUAAAAGUAAGAAAAAUUGUAUCGUGGAAAGCUGACUGUGAAGGAAAAAUCACUAAUGUCCAUUGGUACAAACCAGGUAUUCUGGAGAAGCGUGGGAACCCUGGUCUCUAACAACUGCUUAAUCUCCGCUGGUAUACUGUGUAAACUGCAUGUGAACCUAUUUAAAAUAGCAAGAAAAAAAUGUAAGCAGCAGCAGGUAAUUGCAGAGGCUGUCUGCGUUUCACGCUGCAGGUAAUCUUGCCUACUUACACUUAAAGUAUGUGGUAGCGCAGUCUCGAGAGAAUGUUAAGCAGUAUCAGAGUGCCUUUCCACACAGCCCUGUCUUACUGCGUCAUCUUCAAAACUAUUUUGAACAUACACUGCAGAGUUUGAAAUGGGCAUCAAAAACCGACAACCACAACGCAAAGAAAAGCAAAACCUACAGAUAUUCAGGCUCCAAGACUGGUAUAUUUCACUUUGCCACAUCUACUUACUUUGCACGCUCGCGAUG